UUUAUUAAAGUUUUUAAAACAUUAAAUUGCAAAUUUAAAAUUAUAUAAUUAUAUUAUAUUAAUAAUU
rnacentral:tRNA from 1 species